UUCGUAUUUUAUUGAAAAAUUCUUUUCAAAAACUUGUUGAUCUCUAUCCUUCUUACUUACCCAAUUUCCAGAUUGAUUAUCGUU
rnacentral:tRNA from 1 species